rnacentral:rRNA from 1 species
UACGUAGGGUGCAAGCGUUGUCCGGAAUUAUUGGGCGUAAAGAGCUCGUAGGCGGUCUGUCGCGUCGGAUGUGAAAAUCCAGGGCUCAACCCUGGACCUGCAUUCGAUACGGGCAGACUAGAGUUCGGCAGGGGAGACUGGAAUUCCUGGUGUAGCGGUGAAAUGCGCAGAUAUCAGGAGGAACACCGGUGGCGAAGGCGGGUCUCUGGGCCGAUACUGACGCUGUGGAGCGAAAGCGUGGGGAGCGAACAGG